GACAGAGGGGGCAAGCGUUGCUCGGAAUUACUGGGCGUAAAGCGUGCGUAGACGGCUAUCUAAGUCGGGUGUGAAAUCCCCAGGCUUAACCUGGGAACUGCAUUCGAGACUGCAUUGCUAGAGUAUGGGAGAGGGAAGUGGAAUUUCCGGUGUAGCGGUGAAAUGCGUAGAUAUCGGAAGGAACAUCAGUGGCGAAAGCGGCUUCCUGGACCAGCACCGACGUUCAGGCACGAAAGCGUGGGGGAGCAAACAGG
rnacentral:rRNA from 1 species